rnacentral:rRNA from 1 species
UACGUAGGGGGCAAGCGUUUGUCCGGAAUCAUUGGGCGUAAAGAGCGCGUAGGCGGCCCUGUAAGUCCGCUGUGAAAGUCGGGGGGCUCAACCCUCGAAUGCCGGUGGAUACUGUCGGGCUAGAGUCCGGAAGAGGCGAGUGGAAUUCCUGGUGUAGCGGUGAAAUGCGCAGAUAUCAGGAGGAACACCAAUGGCGAAGGCAGCUCGCUGGGACGGUACUGACGCUGAGGCGCGAAAGCGUGGGGAGCAAACAGG